rnacentral:lncRNA from 1 species
GGAUCAUCUGCUGUCAUCUCUGCUAAAUGGCUCUCUGCUCCUUCCUGUCAACUUUUGGUACUCUGCUGAACUGCAGCGUCCAUGAAGUCUUUUCAGAAUAGGAGGCUACGUCUCGGUUCUUUUAAAUCAUCACACCAGGAGCCCAGAAGAAGCAGGGAGACAGAUCUUAGGACUGGAAAGGACAGAAUGAAGAUCACUAGGAAAAUGUUAUUGAUACACUUAUCUGCAAAAAAAGAAAGAAGUUGCAAAUCUGACUUCAGACACUUCCUAGCUGUGUGAUCCUGGACAAGUCAUUUAACCCUGGUUGGAAGCAAGGAAGAAAGGAAGGAAAGAAGGAGGAAGGGAAGGAAAAAAGGGAGGAAAGGUGAAAGAAAAGAAAGGAAGAAGGAAAGAAAGAAGGAUGGAAGAAAGAAGGAAAGAAGGCAAGUAGAAAAGAAAGAAAAAAAAGAAGUUACAUUAUUUAACUUCUAUUUCCAUUGUCAUUUUAUAGCAAAACAUUACAAAUUGCCAAAUAAAAUAGAUAUUUAUUUG